AUUGAACGCUGGCGGCAGGCCCAACACAUGCAAGUCGAGCGGGGUUUUCGGACCUAGCGGCGGACGGGUGAGUAAUGCGUAGGAAGCUGCCCGAUAGAGGGGGAUACCAGUUGGAAACGACUGUUAAUACCGCAUAAUGUCUACGGACCAAAGUGUGGGACCCUCGGGCCACAUGCUAUCGGAUGCGCCUCCGUGGGAUUAGCUAGUUGAUGAGGUAGUGGCUCACCAAGGCGACGAUCUCUAGCUGGUUUGAGAGGAUGAUCAGCCACACUGGAACUGAGACACGGUCCAGACUCCUACGGGAGGCAGCAGUGGGGAAUAUUGGACAAUGGGCGCAAGCCUGAUCCAGCCAUGCCGCGUGUGUGAAGAAGGCCUUCGGGUUGUAAAGCACUUUCAGCGAGGAGGAAGGGUGGUGUGUUAAUAGCACAUCAUUUUGACGUUACUCGCAGAAGAAGCACCGGCUAACUCUGUGCCAGCCGCCGCGGUAAGAC
rnacentral:rRNA from 1 species